UACAGAGGUUUCGAGCGUUGUUCGGAUUUACUGGGCGUAAAGGGUGCGUAGGCGGCCUCGCAUGUCGGAUGUGAAAGCCCCCGGCUUAACCGGGGAACGGCAUUCGAAACGGCGGGGCUAGAGUACAGGAGAGGAGAGCGGAAUUCUCGGUGUAGCGGUGAAAUGCGUAGAUAUCGAGAGGAACGCCGGCGGCGAAGGCGGCUCUCUGGAAUGAUACUGACGCUGAGGCACGAAAGCUGGGGGAGCAAACAGG
rnacentral:rRNA from 1 species